rnacentral:lncRNA from 1 species
CUCUUUCUCUCUAACUUGUUCUCUGUCUCUGUCUUUUUUCCUUAUUCCUUUUUCCUUAUCUAUAUAUCAAUUUUCCUUCCUUCCUUCCUUCCUUCCUUCCUUCCUUCCUUCCUUCCUUCCUUCCUUCCUUCCUUCCUUCCUUCCUUCAUGCCUUCCUUCCUUCCUUCCUUCCUUCCUUCCAUUCUUCCAUCGGUUCUUCCUUCCUUCCUUCCAUUCUUCCUUCCUUCCUUCCUUCCUUCCUUCCUUCUUUCCUUCCUUCCUUCCUUCCUUCCUUCCUUCCUUCCUUCCUUCUUUCCUUCCUUCCUUCUUUCCUCCUCCUCCUUCCUUCCUUCCUUCCUUCCUUCCUUCCUUCCUUCCUUCCUUCCUUCCUUCCUUCCUUCCUUCCUUCCUUCCUUCCUUCCUUCCUAAUAGUAGAAAGAACACUGGACUCAGAACCAGGAAGCCCUAAGUGGAUUAG